UUGAGCCGUGUGCGGUGAACAGCUGCUUGCACGGUUCUGAGGGGGCGGGGACGCAGCAAUGCGUCCCCGCUACCCGAC
rfam:Streptomyces aureofaciens strain ATCC 10762 contig_4, whole genome shotgun sequence.